ensembl:lncRNA
UGAAAGUGCAACAAUCAAUGUGGCAGCAAAUUUUAAAGCUGAGCAGUAGCCACAGGACUGGAAAAGGUCAGUUUUAAUUCCAAUCCUAAAGAAAGGCAAUGCCAAAGAAUCUUCAAAGUGAAAAUGAAGUGAAGUUGCUCAGUCGUGUCCGACUGUUUGUGACCCCAUGGACUGUAGCCUACCAGUCUCCUCCGUCCAUGGGAUUUUCCAGGCAAGAAUACUAGAGUGGGUUGCUAUUUCCUUCUCCAGGAGAUCUGACCAACCCAGGGAUUGAACCCAGGUCUCUCACAUUGUAGGCAGACGCUUUACCGUCUGAGCCACCAGGGAAGUCCAAAGAAUGUUCAAAGUACCACACAGUUGCACUCAUCUCACAUGCUAGCAAAGUCAUGCUCAAAGUUCUCCAAGCCAGGCUUCAGCAGUAUGUGAACUGAGAAUUUCCAGAUGUUCAAGCUGGAUUUAGAAAGGCAGAGGAACCAGAGAUCAAAUUGCCAACAUCCACCGGAUCAUAGAAAAAUCAAGAUAAUUCCAGAAAACCAUCUACUUCUGUUUUAUUGACCACAUCAAAAGCUUUGACUGUGUAGACUGCAACAGACUGUGACAAUUUUUAAAGAGAUAGGAAUAUCACACCACCUGACAUGCCUCCUGAGAAAUCUGUAUGCAGGUCAGGAAGCAACAGUUACAACCAGACAUGGAACAAGAGACUGGUUCCAAAUUGGGAAAGGAGUACAUCAAGGCUGUAUAUUGUUACCCUGCUUAUUUAACUUAUAUGCAGAGUACUUCAUGUGAAAUACCAGGCUGGAUGAAGCACAAGCUGGAGUCAAGAUUGCCGGGAGAAAUAUCAAUAACCUCUGAUAUGCAGAUGACACUACCCUUAUGGCAGAAAGAGAAGAACUAAAGAGCCUCUUGAUGAAAGUGAAAGAGGAGAGUGAAAAAGUUGGCUUAAAGCUCAACAUUCAAAAAAUGAAGAUCAUGGCAUCUGGUCCCAUCACUCCAUAGCAAAUAGAUGGGGAAACAGUGGAAACAGUGACAGUCUUUAUUUUCUUGGGCUUCAAAAUCACUGUAGAUGGUGACUGCAGCCAUGAAAUUAAAAGACGCUUGCUCCUUGGAAGAAAAACUAUGACUAACCUAGACAGCAUAUUAAAAAGCAGAGACAUGACUUUGCCGACAAAGUUCCAUCUUGUCAAAGCUAUGGUUUUUCCAGUGGUCAUGUAUGGAUGUGAGAGUUGAGCAAUAAAGAAGGCUGAGUGCCAAAGAAUUGAUGCUUUUGAACUGUGGUAUUGGAGAAGACUCUUGAGAGUCCCUUGGACUGCAAGGAGAUCCAACCAGUCCAUCCUAAAGUAAAUCAGUCCUGAAUAUUCAUUGGAAGGACGGAUGCUAAAGCUGAAGCUCCAAUACUUUGGCUACCUGAUGCAAAGAACUGACUCAUUGGAAAAGACCCUGAUGCUGGGCAAGAUUGAAGGCAAGAGGAGAAGGGGGUGACAGAGGAUGAGAUGGUUGGAUGGCAUCACCAACUCAAUGGACAUAAGUUUGAGCAAGCUGCAGGAGUUGGUGAUGGACAGGGAAGCCUGGUGUGCUGCAGUCCAUUGGGUCACAAAGAGUCAAACAUGACUGAGCGACUAAACUGAACUGAUGGGACCAGAUGCCAUGAUUACAGUUUUUUGAAUGUUGAGUUUUAAGCCAGCUUUUCCACUCUCCUCUUUCACCUUCAUCAAGACAGUCUCUAAUUCCUCUUUGCUUUCUACCACUAAGAUGGUGUCAUCUGCAUAUCUGAUGUUAUUGAUGUUUCUCCUAGCAAUCUUGAUUCCAGCUUGAGUUUCAUCUAGCUUGGCAUUUCUCAUGAUGUACUCUCAAUAUAAGUUAAAUAAGACAAUAUACACCUUUGAUGUACUCCUUUCCUAAUUUUGAAUCAGCCCAUUUUAACUGUUGCUUUUUGACCUGCAUACUGGUUUCUCAGGAGGCAGGGAAGGUGGUUUGGUGUUCCCAUCUCUUUAAGAAUUUUCCAGUUUGUUGUGAUCCACACAGUCAAGGGCUUUAGCAUAGUCAAUGAAGCAAUAGUAGAUGUUUUUUUGGAAUUCUCUUGCCUUUUCUAUGAUCCAAAGGAUAUUGGCAAUCUGAUCUCUGGUUCCUCUGCCUUUUCUAAAUCCAGCUUGUACAUCUGGAAGUUCUUGGUUCACAUACGUUUGAAGUCUAGCUUGAAGGAUUUUGAGCAUUACCCUGCUAGCGUGUGAAAUGAGUGCAAUUGUGAGGUAGCUUGAACAUUUUUUGGCAUUGCGUUUCUUUGGGAUUGGAAUGAAAACUGACCUUUUCCAGUCCUGUGGCCACUGCUGAGUUUUCCAAAUUUGCUGGCAUAUUGAGUGCAGCACUUUCACAGCAUCAUCUUUCAGGACUUGAAAUAGCUCAGCUGGAAUUCCAUCACCUCCACUAGCUUUGUUCCUAGUGAUGCCCACUUGACUUCACACUCCAAAUGUCUGACUCUAGAUUCAGCAACUUUUCCUCUUGAUGCCAGGGAGGACCCUUCCUGGAUAUCGUGUCCCUCGGGACAGGGAGCGUGCACAUAUGGAGAUCUCUUCAGGUCAGAGUCAAGUAACAGAACGGGUCGGAGGAGGCGCUCAGAAAUCUGCCGUCUGAAGUCUGUGUCUUAGAACAGUGGAUGCAGAAGAGCACACUCGAGCCGGAGAGAAUUAAACACGCACUCUGGGGAGACAUGGUUGAUGCAAGAAUUAAGGCAUGGGGGAGUGAUUCUGGAUUAUACGGAAUUUGACUUAAACUUUAUGCUAAUUAGAGCAGCCUGUCUUAUGG